rnacentral:rRNA from 1 species
UACAGAGGUCCCAAGCGUUGUUCGGAUUCAUUGGGCGUAAAGGGUGCGUAGGCGGCGCGGGAAGUCGGGUGUGAAAUCUCGGAGCUUAACUCCGAAACUGCAUUCGAUACUGCCGUGCUUGAGGACUGGAGAGGAGACUGGAAUUUACGGUGUAGCGGUGAAAUGCGUAGAUAUUGGGAGGAACACCAGUGGCGAAGGCGACUGACUGGACCGGUACUGACGCUGAGGCGCGAAAGCGUGGGGAGCAAACGGG